AACGAACGCUGGCGGCAGGCUUAACACAUGCAAGUCGAACGCAUCCUUCGGGGUGAGUGGCAGACGGGUGAGUAACGCGUGGGAACGUGCCCUUCAGUUCGGGAUAACCCAGGGAAACUUGGGCUAAUACCGGAUACGUGCGAGAGCAGAAAGAUUUAUCGCUGAAGGAUCGGCCCGCGUCUGAUUAGCUAGUUGGUGGGGUAAUGGCCCACCAAGGCGACGAUCAGUAGCUGGUCUGAGAGGAUGAUCAGCCACAUUGGGACUGAGACACGGCCCAAACUCCUACGGGAGGCAGCAGUGGGGAAUAUUGGACAAUGGGCGCAAGCCUGUUCCAGCCAUGCCGCGUGAGUGAUGAAGGCCUUAGGGUUGUAAACCUCUUUUAGCAGGGAAGAAGCGAAAGUGACGGUACCUGCAGAAAAAGCCACGGCUAACUACGUGCCAGCCGCCGCCGUAA
rnacentral:rRNA from 1 species